GACGUAGGGCGCGAGCGUUGUCCGGAUUUAUUGGGCGUAAAGAGCUCGUAGGCGGCUUGUCGCGUCGUUCGUGAAAACCUGCAGCUCAACUGCAGGCUUGCGGUCGAUACGGGCAGGCUAGAGUUCGGUAGGGGAGACUGGAAUUCCUGGUGUGAGCGGUGAAAUGCGCAGAUAUCAGGAAGAACACCCGUGGCGAAAGCGGCUCUCUGGAACGGUACUGACGCUGAGACGCGAAAGCGUGGGGAGCGAACAGG
rnacentral:rRNA from 1 species